UAUUAUAAGAUGAUGAUGAUUAGGUGAC
rnacentral:sRNA from 1 species